CUUAGUUCGUGGAGUGAUCUGUCUGCUUAAUUGCGUUUCACUAAGGGCCCAUAAAUUCAAGGUAUGUUAGCUAUCGUUUCUCAAUUGACCCCUUGUCUUCGAUAAGCGCGUGUCUUUUAGAGUUUAAACAUUGCGCAUGCUGUUGGGUCCUGAAAGCAACGAACGUGACCGCAACGUCUUAUUGCCUUUAUCUUGUUAUAUUCUAAUUUAAUUAGAAAUAACUAACAGAGGCUAAUUUAAAAUUAGACGGACCGCUGUACUUUUCUUAAACCAGAGGAAGGUUGCGGCAAUAACAGGUCUGUGAUGCCCUUAGAUGUUCCGGGCUGCACACGUGCUACAAUGAUCAGUACAGUGAGCAUCUCAAUAUUAUACACCGUAUUAAGCGCUUAGUUGCGAUUAUUGGCUCAUUAUUGGGUCUUUUAAUUGUAUUUCUAAUGCGCGCGGUAAAGCCUGCUUCGAGAGUAAGUGGGUAAUCCAUUGGAAGUAAUGAUUUCUCUUUUUAUAGCACACCUAUAUACGGCAUUCAUUCCCGGGACGACUAGUUUCGUCUUUUUUGUGCGAAUGUAAUGUAUUCUUUAUCCGUAUGUGCGAUUGUCAAUUCAUGGU
rnacentral:rRNA from 1 species